UACAGAGGUGGCAAGCGUUGUUCGGAAUUACUGGGCGUAAAGGGCGCGUAGGCGGCCAUCUAAGUCAGACGUGAAAUCCCCCGGCUUAACCUGGGAACUGCGUCUGAUACUGGACGGCUCGAGUUUGGGAGAGGGAUGCAGAAUUCCAGGUGUAGCGGUGAAAUGCGUAGAUAUCUGGAGGAAUACCGGUGGCGAAGGCGGGACUCUGAGCCGAUACUGACGCUGAGGAGCGAAAGCGUGGGGAGCGAACAGG
rnacentral:rRNA from 1 species